UUAAGUUCAGCGGGUAUCCCUACCUGAUCCGAGGUCAACCCAGAAUAAAAAAUUGAGGUUGAGAGGCAGACAUAUAUCUGACAGAAGCGAUGAAGUUUCCUAGACGCUAGAAGCCAGGCAGUGUCGCCGUUGCAUUUGAGGUGUGUCUUCCGGAGAGGACAACACCCAAGACCAUGCCUACAAGUAGGCUUGAGUUUAGC
rnacentral:misc_RNA from 1 species